GACGAACGCUGGCGGCGUGCUUAACACAUGCAAGUCGAACGGGAAGGCCCUGCUUUUGUGGGGUGCUCGAGUGGCGAACGGGUGAGUAACACGUGAGUAACCUGCCCUUGACUUUGGGAUAACUUCAGUAAACUGGGGCUAAUACCGGAUAGGAGCUCCUGCUGCAUGGUGGGGGUUGGAAAGUUUCGGCGGUUGGGGAUGGACUCGCGGCUUAUCAGCUUGUUGGUGGGGUAGUGGCUUACCACGGCGUUGGCGGGUAGCCGGCCUGAGAGGGUGACCGGCCACAUUGGGACUGAGAUACGGCCCAGACUCCUACGGGAGGCAGCAGUGGUGAAUAUUGCACAAUGGGCGGAAGCCUGAUGCAGCAACGCCGCGUGCGGGAUGACGGCCUUCGGGUUGUAAACCGCUUUCGCCUGUGACGAAGCGUGAGUGACGGUAAUGGGUAAAGAAGCACCGGCUAACUACGUG
rnacentral:rRNA from 1 species